AGACUGUUCGUAUGGCCUGGAGUGUGGACAGUGUGUAAUUUAUCAAUUGAAAAAAUUAUUUGUCCUUAAGGAGAACUGAAAUGAAAAGCUGUAAAUUAGAGCCUUUAGCUAGGAUCUCAUGUGGAGGCAGAAUGUGUAUUCAAGACAGAAGCGGCGCUUAGGGAACAGGUAUUUCAGACCUAUCUAACGCAAUAUGCUUCAGUGAGUCAAAAAGCUGGAAUCAAGGAAAAUGUUCAGGCAGAGCAGAUACUGCAAAGAGGUGGCAAAGCCUCAGCAUUACAUGGCCCAAUGGCAAUUCUGUUGCAUUAGGUCUAUUUUGCUACUUUAAAACAACUUCCAAUUACACUGCAAUCAAAGAAGAAAUCCCCUAAAACAGCAGUUCUAUUUCAUCAGAAAUGUUCCAGACCAAUAUGCAGUAAUUUAAUCAAAUAGAACUGAACUUCAAUAAUAAAACCUUUGCCCUGAAGAAAAUAUCAAUAGGCAAAUGCAGCAUUUGCAAGACACCUUUUGUGCCCAUGGGAAAAGACCAGGAUUGAGGAUAGUUUUUAAAUUUUGACUGUCGCAACUUUUUUCUGUGACCUUUCAUAAGACAUCCCACACAGGUCCACAGCUCACUUAAGAUUUAACAGAAGAAUACAUUUGCACCAUGAUUUUUCACAAGUGGAUCCACCUGCAAGAUGCUCACUAACUAUGGGCUGAAAGGGGAGAAGUCGACAGACCACACCACAGGAAUUAUUUCAAAUGAAAUCAUCACUAGUGGGGAAAACAAACACAGAGAGACUACUGAAAGAAUCAAAUCCAAAGGGUCUUAAUUCUUCUGCAAACACAGUUUCAGCCAAGUCCAUGGAAAGUCAUUCUAGGAAAAGAUAAGCAAAAACUAAGAAGGGGCAAAAUUUGGGCCAGAAUAUAUAGAACACUGUGACAAAUCUAGGUGAGAAAGAGGAACCCACCAAGGGUGAGGAGAUGGAGGGAAAAUACACUGCGAAAUGCACGAAAGCUUUCCUUAGGCCAGACCAAAUGAGAAAGAAUGCAUAUGCCACACUGCCUGAAUGCCACCCACUUGUCAUUUGUUCCACGGGCUUCCUCUAUGUUUAGCAGCUCUGUUCCAAAGUACAAUCCAUAGCUGGAAUAAGCUCCCCAUCACAGGAUCCACUGAUACAAUCAGAGAGGGGAGGGAGCAAAAGAAAUAUGUGUCAUUGAAUGUAUGAAAGUGAACAAGUUAUGUAAGAUAAUACAAUCUGUUUGAUCCAAAUAUUUUACAUUCAGCAUCUAUAGAAACAACUUGCAAGUGAUUAUGUACGAACGCAGAUUAUAAACCACAGAGUUGGUGCUUGCCAGAAAUGAGUGGCAGCACAUCACAGGCGUUAGUGCUCUGCUGCCAAGAAACAAGCAGCAACUCAAGUCCCAGUUUUCUGAAACAGAUUUCAUUUUGCAAAAAUAGCUUUUGUACAAUCAGUUCAGUUUUAUUUAUCUGCAAUAUCUUGUGACCGGGUCGCACAGCAAUCUCUGGUGUUGCCAGACCUCUGCCUACAAGGGGUUCCAGGAAAAUCUUUGGUAGCAUGAGCUUUUUUAGCUGCAUUUAAUUAGGCACCAUCUCUUGCCCUCAGGGUACAGCUGCAUUAGACAGACCCAGCCAGAUGUGAACUAGCUCCCUGCAUUCUCCAAGCUGGUCAAGUGCAAGCAGAUCCUGGUCUGGAUGUCAGAGGGCCAGUGUGGAUGCACGACUCGGCAGAAUCAGAAUCAGCAGGAGAGGAGUUUCACCCAGGCAGAGGCAGCAGGGCUCAUCCUGGCCACUGGCAUCGGUCAGUGCUGCCAAAGCAGGCUCACAGAAACCUGGACUGCUUCUGGCCAGCACAGCUGGCCAAAAGAGAACCGUGCUAGCUGGAUGGUAUUCCUGAGGGUAUAAACUGUCCCAAACCACUUGCUUUCCAGCAGUGAGCCCCAAAGCUUCUUAGGAAUAUACUUUUGAACUGCAAACCCAAAAUGAGAGGUAUUAAAGCAUUUUUGCUCAUCUUCUCCUGACCCAGAUGCUCAAGGAACAAAGCAGCAGAAUUGUUACUCUCUCAUAUGACUAGUCUCCAGUGAUGUGGCCACCCCAUGGACAGAAGGUUACAGGGAAUCAUAUCUAAUUAGCAGUGGAAAACACUUAGGAGUUGCCUGAUGCUCUAGAGGCCCAAAACAGAAUUUCCCCAAGGGUUUUUUAAAGCAAAGCACUGCAAUCCUCAGCUGCUUGUACAGAUCAGUCAGCCAGGAUUUACAGCAGCUAUCUCAAGAGGAGCUGGACUUGCCCGACAACACUGCUGACAGUAAGGAAGUUGAUUAUAUGUCAAGUACAACAAAUGCACUGUUACAUGGCAUGGGCUUCCUCUGCAUUUGAACUUAAACACUGCUCUCUCUUCCUUUUGACCCGCACUAUAUAUUUACACAUAUGUUUACACGUGCUCAAGACUGCUGUUUUAUACAGAUCUCCAAACUUGGAAUUUGAGCAGUACUCCAUCAGAAAUUAGGCACUUGGUAUAUUGAAAAACAAGUUCAAAAAAACUCAAAUCACGUCUGAGAGUUAUUUAAGAGAGUAAGUAUUUAAAGACACAUAUUGUCACUCUUUUGCUGAGCUCCAAGCACAAGAAAAUAAAGUAAAAGUUUCCAAUAUAUUCCAGCAAUUUGUGUCUUAGAAGCCAAACUUUUAAUGUGUUUGUGGAACGUAUCCUCUGAGAUUGCAAAAGACCGAGGCAGGGGGGAGUGUUUAACACAGCCCAGAAUUACUCCAGCAUCACCUCUGGUGUCACA